UCUGAGACGGGCAGAGGGCGAGGGACAUCCCUGUGCCACCCCCUGCUGCCCUCUGCGGCCGCCGCGGCGCCGGGAAUGCUCCUCAGGAGCGCCGGGACGUGCAGCUCCUGCUCCCGGGAGCUGUUUGUCUGCGGCUUCGGGAAGCGUGAAACCCGAGCUGGCAGCUUGACGUGGAGCAGCAGACGCCUCUCCUGCCUCCCUUCCCACGGGAUGUGCUGGAGCAGCCAGCCGGUGCCGGAUUUUCCAGGCUGUUGUUUUCCUCAGCCUCCCCAGGCCUUGCUGUAAUCCCUCGUUCUCUCCAGGAUUCUCCGUGGGGCUCCUCUCUUGUUCCUGCUCCCACCAUCUGCUCCGUGCCCUUGCCAGGGCAGCUUCCCGCUGGAAAGCCGAAGGAUCUUGGCUCUGGAUCCUUCCCUGGCACACUCAGGACCAGGCACAGACAUUUCCCUGUUCCAGCGUUUUCCUCCAGUGUUUGUUUUGCAAAAUGUUGGGAGAU